rnacentral:rRNA from 1 species
AAUAUUGCACAAUGGGCGAAAGCCUGAUGCAGCGACGCCGCGUGAGCGAAGAAGGCCUUCGGGUCGUAAAGCUCUGUCCUAUGGGACGAUAAUGACGGUACCAUAGGAGGAAGCCCCGGCUAACUACGUGCCAGCAGCCGCGGUAAUACGUAGGGGGCGAGCGUUGUCCGGAAUUACUGGGCGUAAAGGGUACGUAGGCGGCUAGGUAAGUCAGAUGUGAAAUCCAUGGGCUCAACCCAUGUAAGCAUUUGAAACUGCUUAGCUUGAGUUAAGGAGAGGAAAGUGGAAUUCCUGGUGUAGCGGUGAAAUGCGUAGAUAUCAGGAGGAAUACCAGUGGCGAAGGCGACUUUCUGGCCUUAAACUGACGCUGAGGUACGAAAGCGUGGGGAGCAAACAG